UACGUAGGGGCAAGCGUUGUCCGGAAUCAUUGGGCGUAAAGCGCGUGUAGGCGGCUCGAUAAGUCUGCUGUGAAAGUCCAGGCUCAACCCUGGGAUGCCGGUGGAUACUGUCGAGCUCGAGUCCGGAAGAGGCGAGUGGAAUUCCUGGUGUAGCGGUGAAAUGCGCAGAUAUCAGGAGGAACACCAAUGGCGAAGGCAGCUCGCUGGGACGGUACUGACGCUGAGACGCGAAAGCGUGGGGGAGCAAACAGG
rnacentral:rRNA from 1 species